UGGGGAAUCUUCCGCAAUGGACGAAAGUCUGACGGAGCAACGCCGCGUGAGUGAAGACGGCCUUCGGGUUGUAAAGCUCUGUGAUCCGGGACGAAAGAGCCUGAGGUAAAUAGCCUAAGGAAGUGACGGUACCGGAAAAGCAAGCCACGGCUAACUACGUGCCAGCAGCCGCGGUAAUACGUAGGUAGCAAGCGUUGUCCGGAAUUAUUGGGCGUAAAGCGCGCGCAGGCGGCUUCCUAAGUCCAUCUUAAAAGUGCGGGGCUUAACCCCGUGAUGGGAUGGAAACUGGGAAGCUGGAGUAUCGGAGAGGAAAGUGGAAUUCCUAGUGUAGCGGUGAAAUGCGUAGAGAUUAGGAAGAACACCGGUGGCGAAGGCGACUUUCUGGACGAAAACUGACGCUGAGGCGCGAAAGCGUGGGGAGCAAACAGG
rnacentral:rRNA from 1 species